rnacentral:rRNA from 1 species
UACGGGGGGGGCAAGCGUUGUUCGGAAUUACUGGGCGUAAAGAGCUCGUAGGCGGUGUGUCGCGUCGGCCGUGAAAACCUGCAGCUUAACUGUGGGCUUGCGGUCGAUACGGGCAUCACUGGAGUUCGGCAGGGGAGACUGGAAUUCCUGGUGUAGCGGUGAAAUGCGCAGAUAUCAGGAGGAACACCGGUGGCGAAGGCGGGUCUCUGGGCCGAUACUGACGCUGAGGAGCGAAAGCGUGGGGAGCAAACAGG